rnacentral:rRNA from 1 species
ACGUAACAAGGUUUCCGUAGGUGAACCUGCGGAAGGAUCAUUACCGAGUUAGGGUCUUCUAGGCCCGACCUCCCAACCCUGUGUCUAUCUAACCUUUUGUUGCUUCGGCGAGCCCGUCCCCUGGGGACCGCCGGAGGACCCCUAAAGUCCUCUGGCCCGCGCCCGCCGAUGGCCCAAAACCACAAACUCUUUGAACUAAACAUGAAUUGUCUAAGUACCACAUUUAAUAAAACAAAACUUUCAACAACGGAUCUCUUGGUUCUGGCAUCGAUGAAGAACGCAGCGAAAUGCGAUAAGUAAUGCGAAUUGCAGAAUUCCAGUGAGUCAUCGAAUCUUUGAACGCACAUUGCGCCCUUUGGCAUUCCGAAGGGCAUGCCUGUUCGAGCGUCAUUAUCACCUCUCAAGCCCCUCGGGUUUGGCCUUGGAGGGUCGGUUGGGCUUCGCCCGACCCCUCCCAAAGACAAUGACGGCGGCUUUGUCUGACCCCCGGUACACUGAGCUUCUUAACCGAGCACGUGCCGGAACC